UGAUCAGAAAAAAGAGAAACUCUCAUCAAUCUGCUGAUCCUGGGGACAGACUUGACCACAGUGAGCAGCGUCUACCCAAUCAGUCUGAGGAAAACUGUGACCUUCACUAUGCCAGUGUCCACUUCAUGAAGAGUGAGACGGAUCCCGUCUACUCCAACGUCAGAUCAGCUGAACCCAGCGAACACAAGGAGGCGGAGGAGGUUGCGUACGCUUCUGUCAAGUUUAACAGAUCUGCCCCGAGAACCAGAGGUCAGGACACUGGAGAGGAUCCAGCUGCAUUGUACAGCACAGUCAAAAAACCUGCUGUUUAGACCAACGUCUGGAAAUCACCUGAGUCCCGAUGGAAAUAUCUCAACAGCUGCUGGAUGAAUUUGAAUAGAAUUUCAUUCAACUGUUCAUGGUCCCCACAGGAUGAAUCCUUCUUUGGUGACAGACUCCAGCAUCAUUGUUGAUGUGAAUGUUCAUUUUUAAGUGACUUGUCUUGACAGCUAAUGGAUAAAUUGCCCCGAGGAUGAAUCCAAGCGACUUCACUGACUCGACUUUUAUCUGAAAUAUAUCAGCAACUUGUAAAAGUUGUUAAAAACACAACAUUUAGCCUGAAUUAGAAAUAUCAAACAUUUUAUAACUUGCAGCUUUAAACAUGAAAAUAUCUGCAGUGUGUGUCAGACGGUCGACAAACCGUAAACUUGCAAUGAAUUUUUUUCUGAUCAUAAAAUUAUCAAAACAAGCAUUAUUAGUUAGUUGUAGUGUGACACUGCUGCCACUAGAUGGUAGUGUUACUGAUAAAACCACAGAGAGGAUUCUGUCCUUUUCUCUUCUUUCUGUUUCUACACUAUUGUUUCCAUUGUUUCCAUCAUCAGCCGAUCAGGAGUUGUACUCAUUUCCUCUGAGGACUGGAGGGAGCACGUCUCAUGUGGAUGUGAGCUGCUACUCACGUGAUGAACGCCUUGAAUGUGACGUUAACACAAAGUGAACUGCUGACACCAGAUGAGCUGUGUUGCCUCUGGUGACUGUUCAAAGUUUGCAUCAGGCCCAUUGAUUUCACUUUAGUGUUUUGUGGUAUUUCUCACAUCACGUGUUAAACACGUGAAGAAGAAGGAGUUAGGUGUGUUUUAAUCCACCAUGUUCACACACUCUCUUAAGGUAAGAAGAAGUCCACGCUGGUUUAUUUACGUCCUCCCGGCUCCUCACACACAGUGAACGAUGGCAACUAACAGAAAAAGGAUGUUGAUGAUUUUUGCUGAAUAAAGUGACACCCAGCGGGUCAUAAUGCUUAUGCUAUCGUGUCUUAACGCAGCGGUUCCCCGGUCUUGUUUCCAAACUGCGUUGCUAAUUCAACAGCUGCAACAGCUUGAAGCUACACGGAGGCAGCUAGCUUCCCCCCAGCUUCCACACACAGUCAGCACGGACACCCGAUACUAGCUACUACCAAGUGUUUGCUUCUAACCUGACGGUGUUUGAGAAACAGUGUCAUGAGAGCCGUGGGAUUAAAGUCAGCGGGUUUUUGCGCUGCUCCCACCGCAGUUAGCAUGGUGGCUAGCCCGCUAGCCCCGUUAUGAAAGUUCGUUAUAACCGUAUGUGACCGUACACACAUGCUGUAAGUGCUCUAACCAGCCACCGUCAGCCGGACAACGCCGCUGGCUUAACACACUUGUCACAUUAAUCAUAGAGUUGUAGUUGUGAUUUUGGUUUAUUGUGAUGUAGGGAAUGGAACAGGAAGUCUGAGGUUCCGAAAUGCUGGCGUUAGCGGACCAAUCACAGCCAAGGGCUAUCCGUGGGCUCUCCGCCAUUUUGACGUGUAGUUAGAAAAAUGAGAGCUGCACGAAAAGCUCUCCGAGGAGCCUCGGAGAGGCCCGGAGAGGGCGUUCCACGUUGGAGAGGGCGGUCCUAUCUGUCCGUGUCCGUCAAAACGGAGAAGCAUACAUUGGCCUUUAGGGUGUUAAGCUUGAAUGUUGUUAACGAACAGAAUAAUGUUGUACUGCUGUGAUCCAGGUUCAUAAGUCAUACAGAAAGAUAAUAUAUUAUUAUUACUUAUUCUUCAUUAAGAUUAUUGAUUUAAUAUAUUUGUUUUGGAAAUUUUAGUAAUAUUAUAAUUUGGUUUGCUGCACCUUUAGGAGACUGAUGUGAAUUAUACUUUUCUUCACAUUAUUCAUAUUUAUAGUCUUUUUUAUUUCAUUUGUUGUUCACUGACAACAGCCUUUUUUCUAACUUUGUGAUGUACAGUUUUGCCACAAAGCCGAUUUUUCUUUCAGGGAUCAUUAAAAGUGUGUUUUUUAUUCUGUUCAUAUAUUUUUAUUUUUACAUUAAAUGUGAAAGCUAAUUUUUUCCUAUUGUUUUGAAGCUCUUACUAUAUUUUAAUCUCACUUCCAAUAUUUGUUCUGUCUUUCGUUCGUCCUUUUCAUAAUAAAGCCAUUCAGAAUCCAUAAGGGACUUCCAUCACA